rnacentral:rRNA from 1 species
UACGUAGGGUGCGAGCGUUGUCCGGAAUUAUUGGGCGUAAAGGGCUCGUAGGCGGUUUGUCGCGUCGGGAGUGAAAACUCAGGGCUUAACCCUGAGCCUGCUUCCGAUACGGGCAGACUAGAGGUAUGCAGGGGAGAACGGAAUUCCUGGUGUAGCGGUGAAAUGCGCAGAUAUCAGGAGGAACACCUGCGGCGAAGGCGGGUUGCUGGGCUGAUACUGACGCUGAGGCGCGAAAGCCAGGGGAGCGAACGGG